rnacentral:misc_RNA from 1 species
GAGAUGUUUCGCUGGAUGAAUGUCGAGGCUGUAUCAGAAACUCUACUCGUCAAAUCCUUCAAGCUUGUCCCAACCAAAAGGAGGUAAUCGGGUUUUAUGAUUCCUGCAUGUUACGAUACUCAAACAGAUCAAUUUUCAGUGUCCAGGAAACACAGCCUACUGUUCACAUGUGGAACACACAAAAUGCAUCAGAUGUCAAUCAGUUCAAUCAGGCACUGCAAGGGUUAUUAAGCAGACUUCGAAGCAAAGCUGCAUCAGGAAACUCUACACGAAAGUUUGCGACAGGAAAUGAGAGCGCAGGAUUUGAGACCAUAUUUGCACUUGUGCAGUGUACUCCUGAUUUAUCUCGUCAGAAUUGCUUCAAUUGCUUAACUGAUGCUUAUGGAAGCAUGCCUCAAUGUCCC